rnacentral:lncRNA from 10 species
GUCACCCGCUGGAGUGCAGUGGCACGAUCAUGGCUCAUUGCAGCCUCGACCUCCCCAGGCUCAGGUGAUCCUCCCACCCCAGCCUCCCAAGUAGCUGGAACUACAGGUGUGCACCACCUCGCCUGGCCAAUUUUUUGUAUUUUUUGUAGAGAUGGGGUUUCACUAUGUUGUUCAGGCUGGUCUCAACCUCCUGAGCUCUCAAGCGAUCUGCCAGACGUGGCCUCCCAAAGUGCUGGGAUUACAGGUGUGAGCUACUGUGCCCUAUCCUGUAUUUUAUUUUUUUUGUAGAGAUGGGGUCUCGCCAUGUUGCCCAGGCUGGUGUAGAACUCCUGGGUUCAAGCAAUCCUCCCGCCUCAGUCUCCCAAAGUGCUUGGAUACAGGUGUGUGCCACCACGUCCAGCCCCAGCGUGUAUUUUACAUCUUAGAAGGAAGUCAUUAGGUCCAGGCCCCACUUAAGGGGAGGGAACUUCACCAGGGUGUGAACGUCAGGAGGCAGGGAUCAUUGGGGACCAUCUUAGAGGCUGCCUACCGCAGGCACCCUUUCUACUCUGCCAUUCCACAAAUUGUCAUUUUCAUCUUUGCAGCUUCUCCUCAUCUCCCAUCCUCCAAAUAGAAGUAUUUUAUGAACUUCAUAAAGUUGCAAUGUGGCCAGUUUGGGGCAAUUUAUAUCUUCUAUAGACAACAGCAUUGAACUACUUAGCAAACCAGGAAGUGGAAAAUGGUUAUAAAGGGAUCCAAUUACUUUCAUUGCCAAGGCAGUGUAAAACGCAACAUGUGAAAAUGGACUUAAUUGGUGAAAAAUUAAUUAGACAAUUAAAUUUAUUUCUGCUUAAAUACACUUAGGUGUUAAUUGGUAAUCUGACUGCAGGUUUAUUUUAAGUUACAUUUGUUAUCUUGACUCUGUCCUUUAAGAAACGAUCUUUGUUUAAUAUGCCGUGAACACUCCUGGUCUUGCCGAGAAACAGUGUCUAGUUCAUUCUCAUCGUUCUUCUCCAGAUAGGACUGAUCCGGGUCAGACUGGCCCAGAGGGCAAAAAAGCAUUUGCUUCGAAAGCCCCAUCAAGAGGAAAAUCUUUCUACUGCCAGAGGGGCUCUUCUGGGAAGCCUGAGUGGAGAGGUACAGGAUUCCAAGUGGGAACUGCAGACUCGUUAGUCUGCCACUCACUGGCUCUGUGACUCUGGGCAAGUUACUUCUGCAGUCUGGGUUUCAGUUUCUCUAUCUGUAAAAUGAGCUAGUGGGCGUUGAUGAUGUCUGAGUUCACUUCACCCAUAAAAUUCCACGAUUGUCAAGUACAGGGGUUUCAUGACAGGAGGGAUAGAUUGCAAGGGUUUUCUUUUUCUUGAAAAAAAAAAUUUCUUAGCCUCAUCUGUUUGCUAGAAUUUGUUUUAGAGUAUUUCAUGUGCUGGUUAAACAUAGUGGGUUGGAUACAUUUUAACCUGCGCACUGUCUUUAAAUCCCACUGAAAUCAUGAGGACAGAGAGAAUGGGCAAGGGGUCAUCGAUGGACCGGAGAUGGGAUGGUAGGGACAGAAACUGCAGGGUCCGCAGAAGGAACUGCUCACCGAAAGCCAACAAGCUUGCCCUGUGGAAUCCCAGAAAGGCCCAGGAACUUCGGGACAUCACUGAAGGCAGAGUGAAGAGAGGAAGAGAAGACAGAGAAAUGGAGGGGAGAAAACUAUUAAAAUAAGUAAUAAGAAAACUUUCCCCAGAAGUGCAGAAUCUGAAUUUCCAGUAUAAAAGGGUCCAUUGAGCGCCAAGAACAAUGAAGGAAAAAAGGUCCCACUCAGGCCUACGUAUCAUUGUGAAAUUUCAGAACUAGAGGGAUAAAGAAAAGAUCCUAAAAGCUUCCCGAGAGAUAAAAAAGAAGAUUUUUACAAAGGAUCAGCAAUCAGAAUUGCCUCAGACUGCUCAAUAAAAACAUCAGAAGCUAGAAGAAAAUAGAAUGAGGCAUCAAAAUCCUGAGGGAAAUGAUUCCCACCUAUAAUUUCAUAUUCUGCUCAAUUAUCAAUUGAGUAUUGAAGGGAAAUAAAGACAUUUUUAGACAUGCA